rnacentral:lncRNA from 1 species
GAUAAGGGUCUUGCAAGCCCGGGCUAGAGAGGGAAUCACGGCUCAUGGGUAAAGUGUGCGACCUCUGCAGAGGGUAAUGAAACUGAUAUAUCAGCCGUGCUCACGGUUAUGAGCGGCCUUGGGAUCCUCUUUGAUUAGAGAUACAGAUGAUCUUAGAUACAAUUGUUCUAUUUAUGGUUUUGGUUCGAUGAUAAUAAUGAUGUUCCUCGAUGAGGAAAUGAUUCACGGGUUGGUUAUUACUAAAACUUGGCUUCCACUAAUAAUAAAUACUUGACCAACUAAAAGCAACUGCUUUGACCUUAACCCCACAUAAAGCUAGUCCACCUCAGCCAAACGGGACAUUUGCUGAGUACGUUGAUGUGUACUCACCCUUGCUUUCACAAAACACCAGGUUGCCUUUGGUGCAAUCUAUGCUCAAGUAAAGAAGAAGGCGUCGAGGCGGAUCUCCAGGAGUUCCAGGACUUCGACGAGUUCGAGGAUUAGGCUAGCGACCACCCCCAGUCAGCUGCCUGUGGUGGGUUUAUUUACGUUGGCUACGUUUCUAUUCUGUGUACUUUGAUUAUAUUAUGUAAAUGACUCUAGUCUUUAUAUUAUUACUUACUCUUUAUUGUUAUUCGAAGCAUUGUGCUAUGAUGAGUCAUUUAUGUAAUCGCCGUGUACGUGAAUUUUUGAUCCUGGCACGUACAUGGUUCGCAUUCGGUUUACCUUCCAAAACCGGGUGUGACAUAAGUGGUAUCAAAGCCUUGCUGACUGUAGGACCGCUGACCUAGAGUAGCAUUGGCCAUCUUAAGGACUUAUUGAUUAUUACUUCGCCUCAUCCUCGAUUUUGCUUCAAAAUAUUAGUCACCUCGACUAAUUCUAUGUUGUGCUCCUAUAUGCCCCCUUGCCAAAAGUAUUUUAUUCUAGUAUGGUCUCUACUUCUCUCAAUCUAUUAGAUCUGAUCUCAUUCUUAUGCUUGCGACAUCUUUUUAGAUGCCCCUUGACCAUAACCUUCUUGUCCUUUUGGGAUUCUUUCCUAUUUCGUUAUUAAAUUGCUACCAUUUGGCGAACUCUAGUCCUUUGGUAUUGACAUGCUUGUAUCCCUUUAAUACUCUUGUUUCAAGUACUUACCUCUGAAUUUCUACUGCCUACUUAAACAUUUCAGUUUAUAUGUCCAUGAUCAUCCUGUCUUUUGAGACCCUUUCUUAUUCUGUUGUUAAGUCGAUAUCUUUUCGGCAAUUCGUACUCCCCUGGUCUUGGUAUGCUCGCACCUUCGUAAUCUUGCAUACUUUUACUUUGUAUAUAAAUGCUUACCUUUGCACUCCAAUGUCUGUUUAAAACAUUUCAGUUUACAUACUCUUGACCACCUUUGUUUCUCCAUGAUCCAUGAGCGAUCGUUCUAUUUCUCACAUCCUUAAUGAUCUCAUCGUUUCCAUAUAACUUCUCUUGGUAAUAAUUUCUUUUACUUCAACCAUUCUGUUGGAACCUUACCUACCUUACCCGUGAUUGUUUUCUCCAUUUCGCCAUUUUGUGAGUCUUGCCUUAACUCCAUCCUUUCCUAUGCUCUUUGUUAUUAUCACCUUUACCCUUAACACUUCUAUAUCUUGCAUUGAUGUUCAUCUUAUACCUAACCUUCAAGGUCUCCCCUCUCCCAUCUCAAUCUGAGAGCUGUAUGUUUUACCUAUUUUUCUUUUGAGGCGCAUCAUCUUCUUUAUCCCUUGCGAGUUUUUAACUCCAUCCUUUGCCCACUUUUGUUUGCCAUUACCUUAACCUUUGUCAUCCCUCGAUCUUUACCUUGAUCCUUAUCAUGUACCCAUACUUUAAAGCUUGCUCCCCCAUUCCAGUUCAAGAGUAUUGUCCUGCCCCUCCCCGCUCUUGUUCGUUCCCUAUUCCCCUAUCGCGUUGCAAAUCUUGUCUCAACUCGACCGUUUGGUAUGCUUUUGUCUGUUACCUCCUUUACCUUUGUCAUCACUAGAUCUUUCCAUUAUGCCUACCUUUUGAAAUAUCAUCCUUCCCAUCUUGAUUUGAGAAUGAUGUUUUACCUAUCUUGACCUUGGUUGCAUUCUCUCCCUUGUCGGUUACAAUCCUCACUUUAGCUCCAUCCUUUAUUAUGCUCAUGCCCCUAUCCUGCAUGUCUUAUCAUUCCCCUUGCCUUUCGAUGGCCUUAGAAUAGUUUCCCCUUAGUAAGGAAAGACCGCCAUUUAAUUAAAAGUAACGUAUAGCAACGAGAUGUUGGUUGUCGUAUCCUUGUGUUGUUUGUCUUUGUGUGAUGAUUGAUUUGCUUCUUUGUGAUGAGUGUUGAUGCGUUGUGGCCCUCGGUCCGCAAUGACAUCAGUUUAGUAGCUGAGUGCCAUAGAGUUAGGUAGCUGGGUGAUCUCCCCUUUUUCUCUUCAAUCCAUCUAUGCUUACCCUUUUCUAUCUAUACUUUUUUCUCUUGCACCUGUCCGAUUGGCAUUCUACAAAGUCUUUUAAUCAGUCAAGAUCAGAGUCGGUAUCACCUUCACCAAGUGCGUAUCAACGCUCCUGUUAAGGAGGUUAGCCGCUACCCCAGUGAAGACAAUGUGAUCAACAUCAACCAACAAGAUAGAAGUGGCGCAGCGAAAGCGUGUGUGGGUCCUAACCCACAGGUCUAAGGGAUCCUUAAGAAGUGUAUCGCUUGGUCUUGAGCGUCUGAAGGUCAAAGCAACCAGUCCACAAGUGAAGCUUGUAGAGUCAGAGUCAACUCAAGAAAGUCGUGGACAACCUAAGAACCAACCUUGUCCUUCCUGCUAGCCUCUUCUUGAAUCUCGGGGGCGAGAUUCUGUUAAGGGGGUUAGGUUUGUAACACCCUGAAUUUUAAGGUAUAAAAAUUUAUUUGCUCUAUACUCAAAAUUCAGGUGUUACCCUCUCUUUAUUCUCCUCUUUUCUCUUUUUCCUAAAACUUGGGGAGUUAAUUUUGGUUUAUAUAUGUGUUAAGCCUAUUAAAAUAAAACCCCAAAGAAACUUUGAUUGUUGCAUUCAUGUCGUUGUAUAGUGUUUCUAAGGGUAAAGCAUAUUUGAACAUGUUAAUAUACCUCGUAGAAGUUUAUUGUAAAAUUUUCAUAUUUUUAUGAGGUUUUCUGUUUUCCAAAAAAAAUCAAAACCUAUGUAUUUGAGACACCUAAAAAUAUUUUUAGAGACUCCAAAUAUUUUAUUUGUGUUGUUUAGGUGCAUGCCUUAAUUAUUAAUUAAUUUCCUUUGGUCUUAACUCCAAAAAGAAAAUCCCUAUACCUUUUUUUUCUUUCCUCACGUGGGUUGCAUGGAGGAGGAAUUAUAUUGGUUUUUCUUUUUUCUUUUCAUCGCAUGCGGAAGUUGGAGGCUAGAUGCAGUUUCCUUGCCAGCUCUUUGCAUGCACGCGUCCGAGGCUUUCUCCUACGGGUGCGGACGUGCAGUUUCUCAGCGCCCACGAUCGAGGCGGCCGAGACCCAUGCCUGCACACCAUCGCCGGAGGAGCACCGCUGCGUUCCUGAGUCCCGGUGACAAGGUCCAUCCAUGGAGCGCAAAUGUUGUUUGCUGUCGCUCCAUGUCGAGGUGAAGAAUCCCUCUGCCUUUCCUUCUCUCCUCUCUAUCGCCAUGGCCCUGUUGUGCCGGCCACCAACUCGUCUUCAGCAUGUUGCGCGCACAUCUACUUCGCUCCGCACCGCCGUCUACUGCGCUUGCCGGCGAGCAGCAGCUCGUCGUGCCCCAGCCACCGGCUCAACCGCGCCAGCGAGCUGCCAUGCGUGCCAUCAACGAGCCGCGCUGCCCCUACGUGCCGUCGAGCUGCAUCCUCGGCCACCGGCGACACCUCAACCGGGCCGUCGUUGUCUCCACCGCGCCUGCUGCUUGCCCGCCACCGUGCACAGUGACCGCGACGCGCGCCCGCCUUGGUGUCUUGCUGCCACUGCGCCGUCCUCGCGCCAGGACCCCAUCGAGCGCCUCCACCCAUGCUCCAUCCUUGUCACCGCCGUUCGCCAGAGCGGCAUCUCGCCGCGGAAUUCGUCAUCACGCUACUGUCGUCGCUGCGCAGCAGGGUCUACGUCGCUCUCAUCAUUGCUGAGGUGAGCUUCGUCUACCCCGGUAUACUCUCCGUCUACCCCACGCGUAUAGUUUGUCGUCGUUAAUCUGCGAUUAAUAUAUUUCUAUAUAUAUAUAUGCAUUAACUUCUGUGUUAAAUAUCCGUUUCAUUAUGUUCCGGUUACGUUAACUUCAUAAGGACGUCGUGCACACGUUAAGAAUAUUAUGUCUCGAUAUAUGUUUUAUUUGUUUAAUUAAUUGUUAGUUUGUUCGUUGACUAUUAAGAUAAAAUUGAGUUAACGAUAAUUUAUAGUUUUAACUCCUGCUUUUAUAAAUAUAAAUGUUAAUUAACUUUAUUAAUACCAACUUAAAUAUUUUUAAAUUAAUUAUUUGUUUGUUUUUGUUCGCGCGCGGCAUCGUUCGCACGUCAUCGUGCUAUCCGCGCGCGUAGUCGCGUUGACUGGCGUGUGUCGCGCGUUGUUGUGCGUGUUGUUUCGCGUACGCGCAACGUGUUGUCGGGGUCCCGACGACAUCCGUCUACCCCCCCGACGAACCCGUUCGUCUACCCCGCGUGUUAGUAGCAUUAUCUUGUCGCGACACAUGCUUUCGUUAAUUAUUUAGUUAAUUGGUAAUUAUUAAAAUAGAAAUCUAGUUAAGCCUAACUUAUAAUUUUAAUUGGCGCUUUGAAAAUACCGAUUAACAUGAUUAAUGUCACCUCAAAUGUUUUGUGAAUUAAUAUUUAUUUAGUAUAAACGCGAUGAUUAUUAGUAAUCCUCGCAUGUCGUAGGUGCUGUCUGCGCGUUGUUCGUGUGUGAUGUGCUCGUGGUCGCGUGCUGAUUCACACGUCAUUCGCGCUGGUCGCACGCGCUGUUUCGUGUGUCGUCAGCGCGCUAUGUCGUGUGUGUCCACGCGUCGUUCGCACGCUGUCGUGCUGUUUCACGCGUCGUAAAUUCGUCUCGCUUAGAAUCUCUCGUGUUAAUUAAAUUACUUAUUUAACUGAUAAAUGUUAGAGUUAUAGACUAAUUAAAGCUAGGCGAUAGCUCUAGUUGCAUUAAAUAAAUGUCGAAUAAUGUGUGUAUGUCGAAUUAAAGGUUAUAAUUAUACUUGUUUAGCGUAAAUGCGAUAUCUUCUCGACCGUAUCUUCGACCGUCGUGUUUCUUAUCCUCUUGUAACCGUAGAAGCGAGCUCCAUUUUAUAUUUCUUGCUUUUAUAAUAUUUUAUCUUGUAUGGUGUAAUGUUCUUAUGCAAGUAUGUGUUUGUUUGUGCUUGCUUGUAUUCGUUGCGCGUCGCCAAUAGAUUGCGACCUGUUCCUGAGCUUCGAGGAAUCGACAGUCAAGCUUCGGUGACCAAGAGAUCAAACUCAUUGAGUUCUACGAGGUUGAAGAUACUGAGCAUCUAUUUGGUGAAGGCAAGUGUCCUUUGACCUAUUAUGUCCCAUUUACUUUAUAAUUCAUCAACCCGCAUACCAUGAUCAACCUAAGGAUUGACUAGCUUUGCAUUUACCUUGUCCUUGCUUACCUUUUGGGUUAUUAUGGUUAGCAUUUUGAUAUUGCCUUAACUUAAUCAAUGUACAUGAUGUGACUAUUUAUGAUACGAUACUGUUAUCCUGGUUAUACUGUUGAUCUUGUGAUACUCUAGGGGGCUCAGGCUGUUUCCUGAGUACCUCUCCGUAAGGACCUGUUCGUUGAGAGACCACCCGGGAUAACAGUGCAACCAUGAGGGUGGAAUGGGGUGCCCUUAGCUAAUUAAUUAGAGGAACUAGAAGUGUAGUUGCUUCGCCGUCGUGCCGUCAAUGGGGUCCAGGCACAGUGCUUGCUCUGCCGAGGCUGAGUGCCGAUGUUCUUUCGUUUUGCUUUUUAGUCACCCUCCUGCGGGGAGAGGUACUGUGUUUAUCAAACUGGAGAAACCUAACGGGCAGCUAUGACCUCUAGGGAAUCUUUGUAAAGGCUUCGUAGUGAAUCCCUGGCCAUUCACCUUGGGAGUGGAUAAGGGUCUUGCAAGCCCGGGCUAGAGAGGGAAUCACGGCUCAUGGGUAAAGUGUGCGACCUCUGCAGAGGGUAAUGAAACUGAUAUAUCAGCCGUGCUCACGGUUAUGAGCGGCCUUGGGAUCCUCUUUGAUUAGAGAUACAGAUGAUCUUAGAUACAAUUGUUCUAUUUAUGGUUUUGGUUCGAUGAUAAUAAUGAUGUUCCUCGAUGAGGAAAUGAUUCACGGGUUGGUUAUUACUAAAACUUGGCUUCCACUAAUAAUAAAUACUUGACCAACUAAAAGCAACUGCUUUGACCUUAACCCCACAUAAAGCUAGUCCACCUCAGCCAAACGGGACAUUUGCUGAGUACGUUGAUGUGUACUCACCCUUGCUUUCACAAAACACCAGGUUGCCUUUGGUGCAAUCUAUGCUCAAGUAAAGAAGAAGGCGUCGAGGCGGAUCUCCAGGAGUUCCAGGACUUCGACGAGUUCGAGGAUUAGGCUAGCGACCACCCCCAGUCAGCUGCCUGUGGUGGGUUUAUUUACGUUGGCUACGUUUCUAUUCUGUG